GGUUAGGGUUAGGGUUGGAGUUAGGGUUAGUGUUGGAGCUAGGGUUAGGGUUGGGCUUGGAGCUAGGAUUUUUCUGAGUGCACUGAACCAACUCCCGAGUCUCUAGGACAUUCCUAAAAAAAUUGAUUUUUUUCCCAUAGGAAUGCAUGGGUUAGGGUUAUGGUUAGGGUUAGGGUUGGAGCUAGGGUUAGGGUUAGGGUUAGGGUUGGAGUUAGGGUUAGUGUUGGAGCUAGGGUUAGGGUUGGGCUUGGAGCUAGGACUUUUCUGAGUGCAAUGAACCAACUCCCGAGUCUCUUGGACGUUCCUAAAAAAAUUUGAUUUUUUCCCAUAGGAAUGCAUGGGUUAGGGUUAGGGUUAGGGUUGGAGCUAGGGUUAGGGUUAGGGUUAGGGUUGGAGUUAGGGUUAGUGUUGGAGCUAGGGUUAGGGUUGGGCUUGGAGCUAGGAUUUUUCUGAGUGCAAUGAACCAACUCCAGAGUCUCUAGGACGUUCCUAAAAAAAUUUGAUUUUUUCCCAUAGGAAUGCAUGGGUUAGGGUUAGGGUUAGGGUUAGGGUUGGAGCUAGGGUUAGGGUUAGGGUUAGGGUUGGAGUUAGGGUUAGUGUUGGAGCUAGGGUUAGGGUUGGGCUUGGAGCUAGGAUUUUUCUGAGUGCACUGAACCAACUCCCGAGUCUCUAGGACAUUCCUAAAAAAAAUUGAUUUUUUCCCAUAGGAAUGCAUGGGUUAGGGUUAUGGUUAGGGUUAGGGUUGGAGCUAGGGUUAGGGUUAGGGUUAGGGUUGGAGUUAGGGUUAGUGUUGGAGCUAGGGUUAGGGUUGGGCUUGGAGCUAGGACUUUUCUGAGUGCAAUGAACCAACUCCCGAGUCUCUAGGACGUUCCCUAAAAAAAAUAGAUUUUUUCCCAUAGGAAUGCAUGGGUUAGGGUUAGGGUUAGGGUUGGAGCUAGGGUUAGGGUUAGGGUUAGGGUUGGAGUUAGGGUUAGUUUUGGAGCUAGGGUUAGGGUUGGGCUUGGAGCUAGGAUUUUUCUGAGUGCACUGAACCAACUCCCGAGUCUCUAGGACAUUCCUAAAAAAAUUUGAUUUUUUCCCAUAGGAAUGCAUGGGUUAGGGUUAUGGUUAGGGUUAGGGUUGGAGCUAGGGUUAGGGUUAGGGUUAAGGUUGGAGAUAGGGUUAGUGUUGGAGCUAGUGUUAGGGUUGGGCUUGGAGCUAGGAUUUUUCUGAGUGCACUGAACCAACUCCCGAGUCUCUAGGACAUUCCUAAAAAAAAUUGAUUUUUUUCCCAUAGGAAUGCAUGGGUUAGGGUUAUGGUUAGGGUUAGGGUUGGAGCUAGGGUUAGGGUUAGGGUUAGGGUUGGAGUUAGGGUUAGUGUUGGAGCUAGGGUUAGGGUUGGGCUUGGAGCUAGGACUUUUCUGAGUGCAAUGAACCAACUCCCGAGUCUCUUGGACGUUCCUAAAAAAAUUUGAUUUUUUCCCAUAGGAAUGCAUGGGUUAGGGUUAGGGUUAGGGUUGGAGCUAGGGUUAGGGUUAGGGUUAGGGUUGGAGUUAGGGUUAGUGUUGGAGCUAGGGUUAGGGUUGGGCUUGGAGCUAGGAUUUUUCUGAGUGCAAUGAACCAACUCCAGAGUCUCUAGGACGUUCCUAAAAAAAUUUGAUUUUUUCCCAUAGGAAUGCAUGGGUUAGGGUUAGGGUUAGGGUUGGAGCUAGGGUUAGGGUUAGGGUUAGGGUUGGAGUUAGGGUUAGUGUUGGAGCUAGGGUUAGGGUUGGGCUUGGAGCUAGGAUUUUUCUGAGUGCACUGAACCAACUCCCGAGUCUCUAGGACAUUCCUAAAAAAAUUUGAUUUUUUCCCAUAGGAAUGCAUGGGUUAGGGUUAUGGUUAGGGUUAGGGUUGGAGCUAGGGUUAGGGUUAGGGUUAGGGUUGGAGUUAGGGUUAGUGUUGGAGCUAGGGUUAGGGUUGGGCUUGGAGCUAGGAUUUUUCUGAGUGCACUGAACCAACUCCCGAGUCUCUAGGACAUUCCUAAUAAAAUUUGAUUUUUUCCCAUAGGAAUGCAUGGGUUAGGGUUAUGGUUAGGGUUAGGGUUGGAGCUAGGGUUAGGGUUAGGGUUAGGGUUGGAGUUAGGGUUAGUGUUGGAGCUAGGGUUAGGGUUGGGCUUGGAGCUAGGAUUUUUCUGAGUACAAUGAACCAACUCCCGAGUCUCUUGGACGUUCCUAAAAAAAUUUGAUUUUUUCCCAUAGGAAUGCAUGGGUUAGGGUUAGGGUUAGGGUUAGGGUUGGAGCUAGGGUUAGGGUUAGGGUUAGGGUUGGAGUUAGGGUUAGUGUUGGAGCUAGGGUUAGGGUUGGGCUUGGAGCUAGGAUUUUUCUGAGUGCACUGAACCAACUCCCGAGUCUCUAGGACAUUCCUAAAAAAAUUUGAUUUUUUCCCAUAGGAAUGCAUGGGUUAGGGUUAUGGUUAGGGUUAGGGUUGGAGCUAGGGUUAGGGUUAGGGUUAGGGUUGGAGUUAGGGUUAGUGUUGGAGCUAGGGUUAGGGUUGGGCUUGGAGCUAGGAUUUUUCUGAGUGCACUGAACCAACUCCCGAGUCUCUAUGACAUUCCUAAAAAAAAUUGAUUUUUUUCCCAUAGGAAUGCAUGGGUUAGGGUUAUGGUUAGGGUUAGGGUUGGAGCUAGGGUUAGGGUUAGGGUUAGGGUUGGAGUUAGGGUUAGUGUUGGAGCUAGGGUUAGGGUUGGGCUUGGAGCUAGGAUUUUUCUGAGUGCAAUGAACCAACUCCCGAGUCUCUAGGACGUUCCUAAAAAAAUUUGAUUUUUUCCCAUAGGAAUGCAUGGGUUAGGGUUAGGGUUAGGGUUGGAGCUAGGGUUAGGGUUAGGGUUAGGGUUGGAGUUAGGGUUAGUGUUGGAGCUAGGGUUAGGGUUGGGCUUGGAGCUAGGACUUUUCUGAGUGCAAUGAACCAACUCCCGAGUCUCUUGGACGUUCCUAAAAAAAUUUGAUUUUUUCCCAUAGGAAUGCAUGGGUUAGGGUUAGGGUUAGGGUUGGAGCUAGGGUUAGGGUUAGGGUUAGGGUUGGAGUUAGGGUUAGUGUUGGAGCUAGGGUUAGGGUUGGGCUUGGAGCUAGGAUUUUUCUGAGUGCACUGAACCAACUCCCGAGUCUCUAGGACAUUCCUAAAAAAAUUUGAUUUUUCCCAUAGGAAUGCAUGGGUUAGGGUUAUAAUUAGGGUUAGGGUUGGAGCUAGGGUUAGGGUUAGGGUUAGGGUUGGAGUUAGGGUUAGUGUUGGAGCUAGGGUUAGGGUUGGGCUUGGAGCUAGGACUUUUCUGAGUGCAAUGAACCAACUCCCGAGUCUCUAGGACGUUCCCUAAAAAAAAUUGAUUUUUUCCCAUAGGAAUGCAUGGGUUAGGGUUAGGGUUAGGGUUGGAGCUAGGGUUAGGGUUAGGGUUAGGGUUGGAUUUAGGGUUAGUUUUGGAGCUAGGGUUAGGGUUGGGCUUGGAGCUAGGAUUUUUCUGAGUGCACUGAACCAACUCCCGAGUCUCUAGGACAUUCCUAAAAAAAAUUGAUUUUUUCCCAUAGGAAUGCAUGGUUUAGGGUUAUGGUUAGGGUUAGGGUUGGAGCUAGGGUUAGGGUUAGGGUUAGGGUUGGAGUUAGGGUUAGUGUUGGAGCUAGGGUUAGGGUUGGGCUUGGAGCUAGGAUUUUUCUGAGUGCACUGAACCAACUCCCGAGUCUCUAGGACAUUCCUAAAAAAAAUUGAUUUUUUUCCCAUAGGAAUGCAUGGGUUAGGGUUAUGGUUAGGGUUAGGGUUGGAGCUAGGGUUAGGGUUAGGGUUAGGGUUGGAGUUAGGGUUAGUGUUGGAGCUAGGGUUAGGGUUGGGCUUGGAGCUAGGACUUUUCUGAGUGCAAUGAACCAACUCCCGAGUCUCUUGGACGUUCCUAAAAAAAUUUGAUUUUUUCCCAUAGGAAUGCAUGGGUUAGGGUUAGGGUUAGGGUUGGAGCUAGGGUUAGGGUUAGGGUUAGGGUUGGAGUUAGGGUUAGUGUUGGAGCUAGGGUUAGGGUUGGGCUUGGAGCUAGGAUUUUUCUGAGUGCACUGAACCAACUCCCGAGUCUCUAGGACAUUCCUAAAAAAAAUUGAUUUUUUUCCCAUAGGAAUGCAUGGGUUAGGGUUAUGGUUAGGGUUAGGGUUGGAGCUAGGGUUAGGGUUAGGGUUAGGGUUGGAGUUAGGGUUAGUGUUGGAGCUAGGGUUAGGGUUGGGCUUGGAGCUAGGACUUUUCUGAGUGCAAUGAACCAACUCCCGAGUCUCUUGGACGUUCCUAAAAAAAUUUGAUUUUUUCCCAUAGGAAUGCAUGGGUUAGGGUUAGGGUUAGGGUUGGAGCUAGGGUUAGGGUUAGGGUUAGGGUUGGAGUUAGGGUUAGUGUUGGAGCUAGGGUUAGGGUUGGGCUUGGAGCUAGGAUUUUUCUGAGUGCAAUGAACCAACUCCCGAGUCUCUAGGACGUUCCUAAAAAAAUUUGAUUUUUUUCCCAUAGGAAUGCAUGGGUUAGGGUUAGGGUUAGGGUUGGAGCUAGGGUUAGGGUUAGGGUUAGGGUUGGAGUUAGGGUUAGUGUUGGAGCUAGGGUUAGGGUUGGGCUUGGAGCUAGGAUUUUUCUGAGUGCACUGAACCAACUCCCGAGUCUCUAGGACAUUCCUAAAAAAAAUUGAUUUUUUCCCAUAGGAAUGCAUGGGUUAGGGUUAGGGUUAGGGUUGGAGCUAGGGUUAGGGUUAGGGUUAGGGUUGGAGUUAGGGUUAGUGUUGGAGCUAGGGUUAGGGUUGGGCUUGGAGCUAGGACUUUUCUGAGUGCAAUGAACCAACUCCCGAGUCUCUAGGACGUUCCCUAAAAAAAUUUGAUUUUUUCCCAUAGGAAUGCAUGGGUUAGGGUUAGGGUUAGGGUUGGAGCUAGGGUUAGGGUUAGGGUUAGGGUUGGAGUUAGGGUUAGUGUUGGAGCUAGGGUUAGGGUUGGGCUUGGAGCUAGGAUUUUUCUGAGUGCACUGAACCAACUCCCGAGUCUCUAGGACAUUCCUAAAAAAAUUUGAUUUUUCCCAUAGGAAUGCAUGGGUUAGGGUUAUAAUUAGGGUUAGGGUUGGAGCUAGGGUUAGGGUUAGGGUUAGGGUUGGAGUUAGGGUUAGUGUUGGAGCUAGGGUUAGGGUUGGGCUUGGAGCUAGGAUUUUUCUGAGUGCACUGAACCAACUCCCGAGUCUCUAGGACAUUCCUAAAAAAAUUUGAUUUUUUCCCAUAGGAAUGCAUGGGUUAGGGUUAUGGUUAGGGUUAGGGUUGGAGCUAGGGUUAGGGUUAGGGUUGGAGUUAGGGUUAGUGUUGGAGCUAGGGUUAGGGUUGGGCUUGGAGCUAGGAUUUUUCUGAGUGCACUGAACCAACUCCCGAGUCUCUAGGACAUUCCUAAAAAAAUUUGAUUUUUCCCAUAGGAAUGCAUGGGUUAGGGUUAUAAUUAGGGUUAGGGUUGGAGCUAGGGUUAGGGUUAGGGUUAGGGUUGGAGUUAGGGUUAGUGUUGGAGCUAGGGUUAGGGUUGGGCUUGGAGCUAGGAUUUUUCUGAGUGCACUGAACCAACUCCCGAGUCUCUAGGACAUUCCUAAAAAAAUUUGAUUUUUUCCCAUAGGAAUGCAUGGGUUAGGGUUAUGGUUAGGGUUAGGGUUGGAGCUAGGGUUAGGGUUAGGGUUGGAGUUAGGGUUAGUGUUGGAGCUAGGGUUAGGGUUGGGCUUGGAGCUAGGAUUUUUCUGAGUGCACUGAACCAACUCCCGAGUCUCUAGGACGUUCCUAAAAAAAUUUGAUUUUUUCCCAUAGGAAUGCAUGGGUUAGGGUUAGGGUUAGGGUUGGAGCUAGGGUUAGGGUUAGGGUUAGGGUUAGGGUUAGGGUUGGAGUUAGGGUUAGUGUUGGAGCUAGGGUUAGGGUUGGGCUUGGAGCCAGGAUUUUUUUGAGUGCACUGAACCAACUCCCGAGUCUCUAGGACAUUCCUAAAAAAAUUUGAUUUUUUCCCAUAGGAAUGCAUGGGUUAGGGUUAGGGUUAGGGUUGGAGCUAGGGUUAGGGUUAGGGUUAGGGUUGGAGUUAGGGUUAGUGUUGGAGCUAGGGUUAGGGUUGGGCUUGGAACUAGGAUUUUUCUGAGUGCACUGAACCAACUCCCGA
rnacentral:lncRNA from 1 species